rnacentral:lncRNA from 1 species
AAGGUGGUACUGAUGGUGCAGAAGUAACACGGGAUGACAGUGGUGGAGGCGGAGGUGGAUGAGGGGCUGCCACGCGAUUUCUUUUACUUAAGGAUGGAAAACUUUGUGAAGGGGGAGGUGGUGGAGGUGGAGGUGGAGCAGGAGGUGUUUGAGAAGAAUGUGGUGGUGGAGGUGGAACAGGUGGUGUUCGAGGAGGUGGAGGUGGAGGUGGAACAGGCGGUGUUCGAGAUGAAGGUGGUGGAGGAGGUGGAACAGGUGGUGUUCGAGAAGGAGGUGGAGGUGGAACAGGCGGUGUUCUAGAUGGAGGAGGUGGUGGAGGUGGAACUGGCGGUGUUCGAGAUGGAGGAGGUGGCACUGGCAGUGAUCGAGGAGGUGGAGGAGGUGGAACAGGUGGUGUUUGCACCCGCGCAACACUGUGUGAAAAUGUAGGCAUCAAAGACGGGGUGUCUGGAUAUUCCAUCGUUGCACUGUGCUUGUUAUCUAGAAACUGCGGUUGAGACAACGAGACUUCAGGUUCAUUAAGUAGUGUAGAAGGCAGAG